rnacentral:rRNA from 1 species
UACGUAGGGUGCGAGCGUUAAUCGGAAUUACUGGGCGUAAAGCGUGCGCAGGCGGUUUUGUAAGUCUGACGUGAAAUCCCCGGGCUCAACCUGGGAAUGGCGUUGGAGACUGCAAGGCUGGAAUCUGGCAGAGGGGGGUAGAAUUCCACGUGUAGCAGUGAAAUGCGUAGAGAUGUGGAGGAACACCGAUGGCGAAGGCAGCCCCCUGGGUCAAGAUUGACGCUCAUGCACGAAAGCGUGGGGAGCAAACAGG